GUUUUGAACUCCAUAGCUGUGGGUUCUUGAAAUGCUUUUCCUUUUGUAGAUGAGGAAAUGGGGUGUGGGCAAAGUGACUUGUCUGGUCACACAGCUCUCGCAGGCAGAGCCUGUGUACUGUAAUGGCACUGUGCCCAGCACUGGUGCUGGGCAUUGUUCAUUCAGGAGCAGCUGUCCUCCUCUCUCUCAGCUGCAUGCUGCUCACCUUUCUCCCCAGACUUUGGGGCUGUAUCCUGCACGACUCAAAACCAAACAAGCAAAAACUGAGUCUUCUCUCUGCCAAAAAUUCAGGCUCCCUGGGCUCACUCUUCCUUGAGUUCCUUUGGAAGAACAGUUGGUUAGCUUGCUCCAGGACAGGGUGACUGACUAGUCAGCACAGGGCUGGCAGCUAGCUACACAUUCAAGUCUUGUUUUUAGACUGUGGAAACAGUUUCACGCUCAGACCCUGUGUAUAAUAAAGUGCAAAUUCUAUAACUCCUGGUUAGAGAGCUACUCAGACUGGAGAGGCUGGGGAACAUAAUAUGGGAGGUACGAGUUUUCUGGUCAGCCUCCUCUGCACUUUGGUUUUGGCCCAUCCUGGUUAGGUCUUCAGCAUAGGCCUUAGCCAAGGAGUCACCCCCACGGUGACACACUUUCCAGAGCAUUCAGAUGCAGGGCUCUUCUUGGACUCUACUGUCAUGUAGAUAGUCUCAGAAGUUGCUCCACUUCUAAAACCCCUCAUGCCCUUGGAAGCCACAUUAAGGGAGAGAUGGUGGGCAUCAUUCAUGAGGUGAAAGUUUGCACUCAAGGAAAGCUGAAGGGGCCUCAAAAUGAGGUCAGAGGACCAGGAUAUUGAAGCUAAUGAAGGGCAGACCCGGGACGAACCUGGUUUCCUCUGUUAGAUGUGUUGUGAUUCUAUUUAUUUAGUGACUGCAAUUCCAGAUGGGUUAAAACAGAAGCCAGCUGGACGUUCGGCCUAGAGUAUGCCUCCCCUGCCAUAGAUGGAGUGGCCUUGGGGGAGCAGGGUGGGUGAAAGUGAACUCUAGUUUGCUGAUUGUGUUCAGAGAGUGAGUUGUCUGGAUGGUGUAGAGGAACUUCUUCCAUAGGAUAUCUGUUUGGAUUGAUUGGUGAUAUUGCUGAGACCACUGCUCCUUUCUUGGGCAGAUAGAUUUAUUGAGAAAACAUUCACUGUUACCUGCUACUUCCUGCCUGGCUCUGUCACAGGCCUAGAAGCAGUUGGAGGAAACCAUGAGAUGUUCCACUUCAGGAACUGAGGUGAAGGGUGACCAUUGGCUGAGGUGGAGGGUGUAGGAAGGAGGAGGGCAUUUGAAAAGAAUCAGAAUCAUCUUCAGUGAGAGAGCCACAUCAGCAGCUUUGCUCCUGCUGCCAGGGAUGUUGUACCCCAGCCCAGCUCCCUUGGUAGGUCUCUCUGCCCUUCAGAAGAGGAGCCAGGCUCUCAAGAUGAUGUGCAGGGUAGGAAGGGAUUAGAGCUGAGUCACUUACAUUUCCGGCAGCUCUGAUCCAGGUGAGAAUGAGGGAGGCUGGCGGAGCUGCAGCAGAGAUGGAGGCAGGAGCGAGGUCUGCACGGGCCGGGUCCUCUGCUGGGCACAUAGUAAGUAGCACCCAGCCCCAGGCCAGGGAAUGACAGUGCCCGCUGGAACAGGAGGCCCGCAGAGCUCUUUUAUAAGAUGCCGGUUCAGUGGGCAGUGGAGCUAGCGAUGGUGCCUCUGACCAAACCAUGGAAGGGAGAAGGAUGCUGACAGCAUGCAUGGUGUUGGGACAUAGCAGGGCCUCUCGCUGAGCUACAGGUGGGGCUGUGGCAGGAAGUGUCUCUCUCGGCACUGGGCGGACAGGUAUGUGGCCAGUCAGCCAGCAUCUUUAUCAUUCCCAUUUCUGGGUGCCUGGGCAGUGACAGGUACUGGUGGUCCUUUAUACUGAGACCUUUUGUUUUAAAUUUUUUUUUAGAAGGUGUUUGUUUUGCACAGGGUGUUGCCACAAAGUUCAUGCUGGCCUUGAACUCACUGUUAGCCUAGGUUAGCCUCAAACUCAGUGAUCCUCCUGCCUCAGCCUGCAGAGUGCUGGGAUUACAGGCGUGUGCCACCACACCUGGCAAUUGUUUUCUAACCUGGGCCAAGGCUGGCAAAGAGUCUGGUUGGAUACAGCAUCUGUGGGACAUGGUCAUUAGCCAAUGGGAUGGUGCAGGCUUUCUUUACGGAGUUAUUUAAGGAGGGAAAAAGUUGAAACAGAUCAGUGAAGGGUUUGCUUUGGGUAUCAGUUUUGUGUCAGUCUGUUUGCCACCUCUGCUUCAUCAUGGUAGGCUAGGAGGUGGGCAACUAAGGAAUCAGCAUGGGUCCUCCCCCUCCCCCCCGCCCCCUUUCUGGUGCUGAGGAUGGAACCCACGGUCAGUGAGUUCACACCUUUACUAUUGAAGUGAAAGAGCUGACAGAGCCAUGUUAGGCAAGACUACCACAGAGUAACAACCCGGGCGAGCCAGGGUGGGUCCCGCACCUCUGUAUUUCUACAUCUGUGCUAGAACUCAAGGAACGGCUAUGGUUCUGCAGGCUUUGAUCAGAGCUUUGGAAAGGUUAAAGGUGUACUGAGACAGCAAUUUCACCCAUCUUCAUGUGGCCAGAAUUCCACGACUAGGUGUCUGACCACAGAUGGCCUCACCGCUCUGCCCCCAUGGGCCACGCAGUCAGACACCACCCUCAGGUGUUAGUAUGCAGAGAUGGACAGGGAGCAAUGCUUUAGCUUGGUGUCUGCAGGCAUCUCCUGGAGAGGACUGGAUGCUAAGUAACCAUUCCAGGCCUUGUGGAUCUUGCAGUUGCUGCCACAACUACUUACCUGUCAUUACAGCGCAGAAGCAGCCUCCGACAGAGGAGAAGGUGAACGACACUGUGUCCGCUAAGAAUUUACUUUCAAGAACAGCAGGCUGUGUUUUGGCAAGCCUUCAGAGAUUCCUUAACCUUCUGUCUUACUUGGGACAGGAAACUUCCACCCUCUCUGCUGCCUGGACCCAUGCAUCUUCCUGUGGCAGCUGUUGCCCAAAGGGGACUUAGGUAAUUGAGUGACAGGUAGGACACUGAAAGGGGAAAACAGGUGGGUAUAGAGCAAAAUACAGUGUAGGAAGCGAUCCCAACUUCCCCUCCUCUUCUGGGUCCUGGAAUAGAGAGAGGUGGGGAAAGUUCUUCCCAAAGGGACAGACUCUGGUGGUGGAGGAGACAGCAUCAUGGUGCCAGCCUGGGAAGGGCCUUGCCUGCCAGGCCGGGGCAUGAAGGCUUGGCUCCCAGGGUGAUGGCUGUUCUGUUGUGCUUGGGGGUAAAGUCAUCACCAGCACCUUCAGAAAUGGCUGCAGUUGUGGGAGACCAUAUCUGUAAUUACAAAUUACACCUCUUGGUUUAGGCUGGAUUUUGCUGCCAAGGAAUAGGAACUCUUUUUGCUAGCUGGGGUGGGAAAGCAAGUCUGGGGAGUUCCAGGGAUUUUCUAGCCUGCAACUAGAAACUGUAGUGAAGCCAGGGAUUUAGCUGUGGCACCACACCUGCCUCGCUAGCACAAGGUCCUGAGUUCAAUCUUGGGUACAAAAAACCCCCCCAAAAACUGUGGUGGACCCAACUUUAGUGGGCCAGUCGAGUGCAGUCCUCAAGGAGACAUUCUUAUCUCCAGUCUGACUUUGGCCUGGGGUCCUGUUGUGGGAGGGUGAAAUGGCAGACCACUCCCCCGCACCUAGGAAUCAGACGGAGCUUCCUGCCGCUGGGUGGGUGGGGAUGGGGCCGAGACAGAGGCAGGUGCCACUUGUUGUGGCACUAACUGCAUGGGCCAGGCUUCUGUUGGUGCAGCGAUGGACCAGGAGACUGACUGGGUGUCGAGCUCUCCAGUCUUUUCCCGGGUGGUUUCUGGGCAGGUUGAAAGGCAUGGGGGUGUGCGUGCUCUCAGUGAGGGGUUGGUUUGUAAUCUCCAGGAAUCAAGUGGGGGAUCUGAGAGGAAGUGUCGUUGAGCUGUGCUAUGAGGGGACUUGCCUGGGAUCUUGCUGCCAGGCCAUCGCUUGGGAAUGUAGGUGUCUCUGAGGCCCUGACAGUCAGUGUGUCUCAUCUCCAAGCAGGAGCACCCUGUGCAUUUUUGUAGAGAAGUUUCUGGGUUUGUGGGCAACUCGUCCGGCAUAGAUAGAAACCAGCCUUGACUUCGGUGAAGAAAGUGCCAUCUGUCUGUGGCUGUGGUCUUUGACCUGGCAGCAAGUGCUGUGCUGUGCUCUAGCCCUGCGGGGAGGCUGACAGGCAGCACCAGGGCCUCUCAUUGCUUGAGCCACACCAAGCAGCCCCUGUGCCAGCCUCACAUAGGCUCAGGGCCAUCUGCCCCAUUUUCCUGUUCAGGGAGCAACAUGAUCAGAAAGAAGUUGUUCUUCUUUUGUUUUUAAACACCCCCGUAAAUAUUUCUGCUGCUCUGGGAGUCAAAAUUUCUUCAUUAUUUAAAGAAACAAUUCAAGAGUGGGGAUAAGAGUUUCAGGUACUUAGGUAGAUUGUCUUUCAGAAGUUUCUUUUCCACCUCUAACUUAGUAGUGACACUUCUGGUUUCCAGCUCUUUCCCCUCUUCUGGGUGGCCCAUGCUUUUCCGCUUCUGGCUGCUUCUGGGCUGAGUGCCGCUCCUCCUUACUUGGGAAUAGGUUCCUGCUGUGCAUGAAUACCUUGGCAUAAGGAGUUUGGUUUGGUCGGGUGAGUGACAGGUCACACUGGUCUCCUUAACAGACUCUUGCUACUUCCCAAGCUUCUUGGAACCCAAAUCAGCCACUGGCUUCCUCAGGCUGCAGCCCUUGAUUGCCCAGGUAGCGAUGGCAGCUGAUGUGUGAGUUUGUGUCACACACGUCGCAUUUCCUCCCCAAUCAUCUAUACAGUCGGGUAAAAUAGGCUUUUUCCCUAACCACUGGGACAGGCCGUGGUCGUGUGGGAGGUGGCUCAUCUGUGGACCCUCAGCUGCAGGGGUCCUUGGGGCCUAUGCAUGGGUCUAACUCUCCUUGUCUCCCAAGAACCCGAGUGACUGAUGAGCUGUGUAUUCUUCCCUCCACAUACCCAGGGCUCAGGCAGGCAGUGAAUGCUUAGUCCAGGUGGGAACCUCUUGCCGUGGGCCCAUCUUCAGCAGACAUAACACUUGGGCUCCAUCUGUCUGGCCAGCUCUGCUGACCAUUGGCUUUAGUGGCCGUCAGAACCCAGCCACUUAGAAGGCAGGUCUCCUGGGGUGGCCGUGAUGAGGGUGAGGACACUGCAGGAACAGUGUUGGGGAAAGGGGCCAGCCUCAAACCACUGGUCUCCCAGCCUCUCACACCCAUGGGCUGGCCUCUCCUGUGUAUGUAGUGUUCUUGGAGGAGCAGGGCCUGCCAGACUUGGCUCCCAUCUACUCCAAGCAGAGCUCCAUCUGGAAGGUGCAGCCAUUGUAGAUCCAAGGCCCUGGCUUGUCCAUACUGGGAGCAAGGUGGCCCUGCUCAGUCUUAGCCCUUUGUCAGCCCAGGGUGGGGCACAGGGGGAAGAAAACCUUUCCCUACUGCACGGUUCCACACGACAUUGGACUCCUCCUGGCUGUAGCUCACUCUGGUGAUGCCACUAGUUUUUAGAAUCUAUUUAAAAGAAAUCUGUACCUAUUUAUUGUGUUUCCCUGAAUACACAAAUGUAAAUAGCAUAAUCUGCAGUACUAAGUCCUUGGCAAUAACUUUUUGUUAUGUAUUAUGUUAAAAACAUUGGAAAUCACAAUCCCCACGGACUGUUCUGCCCCUCUGGGCAGUAGUUACAUGUAGACUCUGGUGUAAAGUGUCAGCAUGGUGGAAGCAGCAGCCUGCACAUGUGGAUUAUCAUCAGUGCCUCGCCCAGAGAUGCCUGGCCUUCAUCCAAAGGGACCCUGCUGCCCAGUUCCCGCAGGCAGUGCCCACACUGUGGCUCCUUGCGCUGAGCACGUUGGACUCUGCCAUAGACUGAUCCUCUUGUCUGGCUGCUACAGUGUGUCUAUAAUGCCUUGACAUGUUGCAUUUUCUCUAUCUGGAUGAAUCAAAAUAAAUGCUUCCAUGUUGAACAGCA
rnacentral:lncRNA from 1 species